CAGCCGGCGGUAAUUCCAGCUCCCAAUAGCGUAUAUUAAAGUUGUUGUGGUUAAAAAGCUCGUAGUUGAACCUGGGCCUCGCGCAGACCGGUCCGCCUUCACCGCGUGCACUGGUCCUGCCGGGGCUUUCACUAGGGGAUUCGCAUGUCCUUCACUGGGCGUGUGCGGAACCUGGACUUUUACUGUGAAAAAAUUAGAGUGUUCAAAGCAGGCCUAUGCUCGAAUACAUUAGCAUGGAAUAAUAGAAUAGGACGUGUGGUUCUAUUUUGUUGGUUAUGGGACCGCCGUAAUGAUUAAUAGGGACAGUCGGGGGCAUCAGUAUUCAAUAGUCAGAGGUGAAAUUCUUGGAUUUAUUGAAGACUAACUACUGCGAAAGCAUUUGCCAAGGAUGUUUUCAUUAAUCAGGAACGAAAGUUAGGGGAUCGAAGACGAUCAGAUACCGUCGUAGUCUUAACCAUAAACUAUGCCGACUAGGGAUCGGGCGAUGUUACUUUUUGACUCGCUCGGCACCUUACGAGAAAUCAAAGUCUGUGGGUUCCUGGGGGAGUAUGGUGGCAACGCUGAAACUUAAAGAAAUUGACGGAAGGGCACCACCAGGAGUAAACCUUUGCUACAAUUAUAUUUUCGAAAUGCCGCAGUAGCUCUGCUCCAAAAAGCAGCCCGAAAGGGUGAGGUGGUUUCAGCCCGGGUCGCCUCGUGCGGUCCGAAUCUAAAUGCUAGUCCGCCUCGGCGGGCGACACGCUCAAAUUGCGGGGAACUCCUAAAGCUCCAGCCACCAAGCCGCCGUGCGAAAGCCGGUGGCGGCCAGGUUAAUUGCCUCGGGUACGGUAAUAGUGCUGGAGAUGCUACAAUGGAUGAUCCGCAGCCAAGCCCCUAAGGCGCCUUGCGCUACGGGGAAGGUUCAGAGACUAGACGGGUGUGGGUCCCGCGGCCGCGGCCGCGGGGCUUAAGGUAUAGUCCGGCCGACGUCGAAAGGCGUCGGGGCCAGC
rnacentral:rRNA from 1 species